rnacentral:rRNA from 1 species
UACGUAGGGUGCAAGCGUUGUCCGGAAUUAUUGGGCGUAAAGAGCUCGUAGGCGGUCUGUCGCGUCUGCUGUGAAAACCCGAGGCUCAACCUCGGGCCUGCAGUGGGUACGGGCAGACUAGAGUGCGGUAGGGGAGAUUGGAAUUCCUGGUGUAGCGGUGGAAUGCGCAGAUAUCAGGAGGAACACCGAUGGCGAAGGCAGAUCUCUGGGCCGUAACUGACGCUGAGGAGCGAAAGCAUGGGGAGCGAACAGG